AACGUAGGGGGCGAGCGUUAUCCGGAAUCACUGGGCGUAAAGGGCGUCUAGGCGGCACGUCAAGUCUUGCGUGAAAUCUCCUGGCUCAACUAGGAGAGUGCGUGGGAAACUAGCGAGCUAGAGACGUGGAGGGGUGCACGGAAUUCCCGGUGGAGUGGUGGAAUGCGCAGAUAUCAGGAGGAACACCAAUGGCGAAGGCAGCUCACUGGGACGGUAUUGACGCUGAGACGCGAAAGCGUGGGGAGCAAACAGG
rnacentral:rRNA from 1 species